rnacentral:rRNA from 1 species
UACGAAGGGGGCUAGCGUUGUUCGAAAUUACUGGGCGUAAAGCGCGCGCAGGCGGUCUUUCAAGUCAGUGGUGAAAGCCUGGAGCUCAACUCCAGAACUGCCAUUGAAACUGCAAGACUUGAGUACGAGAGAGGUGAGUGGAAUUCCCAGUGUAGAGGUGAAAUUCGUAGAUAUUGGGAAGAACACCGGUGGCGAAGGCGGCUCACUGGCUCGUAACUGACGCUCAGGCGCGACAGCGUGGGGAUCAAACAGG